GAUGAACGCUAGCUACAGGCUUAACACAUGCGAGUCGAGGGGAAACGAUGAGAGAGCUUGCUCUCUUAGUCGUCGACCGGCGCACGGGUGAGUAACGCGUAUCCAACCUGCCUCUGACCAAGGGAUAACCCGUCGAAAGUCGGACUAAUACCUUAUGCAGUCGUCGGAAGUCAUCUGAUGACGACGAAAGAUUUCAUCGGUGAGAGAUGGGGAUGCGUCUGAUUAGCUUGUUGGCGGGGUAACGGCCCACCAAGGCGACGAUCAGUAGGGGUUCUGAGAGGAAGGUCCCCCACAUUGGAACUGAGACACGGUCCAAACUCCUACGGGAGGCAGCAGUGAGGAAGAUUGGUCAAUGGGCGUAAGCCUGAACCAGCCAAGUAGCGUGCAGGAUGACGGCCCUAUGGGUUGUAAACUGCUUUUAGGCGGGGAUAAAGUGAGGGACGUGUCCUUCAUUGCAGGUACCGCAUGAAUAAGGACCGGCUAAUUCCGUG
rnacentral:rRNA from 1 species